UUUAGUAUUGUAGCCUAUUUGUUGAGUCACGGACUCCAUCUAGUGGUGACAUCGCGGUAGGCCUACUACCAAGCGCUGUGAUUUAACAGUUCAGGACGGGGCUAUAUACUCUUAAAAGCGUAGAAUGUGCUGAAAAACAGGUCAACAAGUACGUUGAAUGCUGCGAGGAGAGAAAUAUGGGCCUAUUUAGUGCAUCUCGCUAACAGUGUUUGAAGUAGGGGUUUGUUCUUCUCUGGUUACUAGAGGUACGAAAACUUUGGCUCUGGGAUUGUUGGGCCGAGCUAGAACAACACCCAGAGGCGGCGACACAGGUGGGUUUCUUCUGGCAGUGUGAAUGGAGCCAACACUCCUAUAGACUCCCAACACCGGUUUGACAAGGCUGGCAGCACUGCUGAUGUCACAACAGUAGCUUACAACUUGACACCAUCUUUUGCCACCAGGCAUGGGACUGCAACAUAGCACAAUGACUUACAGACAGCAUUUAAAGCAUGCCACAUUAGUUGGUCUAGCACCUGCAGCCAAAAUAAAA